rnacentral:tRNA from 1 species
GGCCGGUUGGCGGAACGGUUACGCACUGGAUUGCAAAUCCUGAUCAUGUCGGUUCGAGUCCGACACCGGCCUCCA